UUGUGCGUGAGAGAAUUGAGAAGAAAGGAUUCUUCUCUUGAUCUCUAUUAUAGAGAUCUGAUGCAUGGAUCUAGAAAAAAAAAGAGAAGGUCUUCUUAUUCUUCAUCUUCUUCAUGUUCCUCUUAGACUAGCCAAAGUAUGGUGUCUUCACGAGCUAGUACUCCUAGAGAGAUCGAUUAGCACAAGAGCUUUGUGUGGAUAUCCAUAG
rnacentral:lncRNA from 1 species